GUGCAACCUCUCCACUGGGUCAGACUUCUCUAACCUUGGGGGGAGAGUAUAUAUAUGCGACGACUGCAUGAGGGGAGCAGACAGCACAGCGGGACAGAUCCUGACGAACUUCUGUCAUCAUGAAGCUUGCACUCCUCCUCGUCAUCCUGGUGCCGUUGGUGGCGGUGUUUACCUCCGUUAGCUCCGCCCCGUGUCCGGUUGCCUCGCCAGGUCCUGAACCCGACCCCCCACUGGCCCGGUUCAUAAAGAAAUGGUUCGGGAAGCUUGGCUUAGGGAGGGGAAUAGCAGGAGAUCUCAAACUCUUCAAGAAGCCAGAACCAGCCCCACCAAUGCCUGCCAAACAUCUUCCACCACGACCUGCCUACGGCCCACCACCGCCUCCUGCUCACGCCUACACAUCUUACGGCCCACCGCCGCCACCUGCUUAUGGUUAUGCACCUGCUUAUGGCGCCCCAUCUCCACCUGCUCACGGACAAUCUUAACAACCCACCCAUACCAAAAACAACACAACCACUAACUAGCAGCUUGCCUACGCCCUAGCCUACUCAUCCCCAUAUUCCUGCUGUCUGCUUACCCCUGCCGCUCUACAUACCACCAGCCACCAGUUCAUUCAUAACAAGGCUCUGUUCACAACUAACCUACCAGCCUACCCACUCCCAGCUCCCUGCCUACCGCUUAUAGCUUCACGAAUUUGCCGUCUGUUCAUUAAUAACCCACAUAUCAAAGUUGUUUACCUGCCCAGUGCCCACUAACAUCAGCCUCCUACUGCUCUCAGCCUACUUAUCUUCAUGCACCUGCUGUCUGUUUAAUGCUUAUCCCUGCCGGUCAGCCUACCCUCGGCAAAGUGUAUUCGCCCCUCACUCCUGCUCGGCGCCCCGCUGCUGAAAGAGGCGACGGAUCACAGUACAACAACCAUAACCAUUUUGCUUCAACCGCCCCGCACUAAUGACUCCAUGUUCUACCUAAGUCAGUCUCCUUCCAUACGUGUGUGUGUGUGUGUGUGUGUGUGUGUGUGUUCAUAGCAGUAAACAUAUUCGCACGAAGUUCCAAAGCACAUUUGUUUAUAAGGAAGUUAUUCAAUAAAAGAUACACUUCA